ensembl:lncRNA
GCCAGGUCUGAAUUUCGGGUAGCUUCAGGUGAUAGUGGCAUUAGCAGGUUAGUAUUUUUCAUUGAUUGCUAGCUGUAAUCUCUAAUCCAUUUUUUUGGACGGGUCAGCGAACCCAGAGGCAUCUCUAAUUCUGGAAUCGUUUGUCUGAUUAAUGCCUGCUGUAAUGACUUUAGUUUGUUUAGCCCCUGAAAAAACAAACAAAUAAAAAAACAGAAACUUUUUGCUUUGUAAUAUAUAAAUUAUGUAUGUUUCUUUCAUUGCUUUUACUUAUACCACUUUAUAGAUUAUUAAAUCAUUUAUAUUAAAUUGAAAAGCAUUUAUAAUGAUAAAAUAAAAUCUGUGUAUUUUCCAUAUGCAUGUUUACUUAAAAUAGAGCUUUAUUAAGGUAUUAUUUUCCAUGGGGGGAAAGUCAUUAACCUCACCUUGGUGCUCCUUUUCAGCCAUCAUUCAGUGAGGUGUAGAUUCUGUGCAGCGAUUUCCAAUUUCAGUUUUCAGAAGGAAUAUUGUAGCCAUAUAUAUCAAAGUGUGGUAAGUGCUGUCAUUAGUUAAACACGGCAGUGCCUCUGUUCUCUCUGGCAUACAGAGGUCUCCAUGAGGUAUGGAUGUUGUCAGCUUCUAUUUCCUCAGUAUGACCUUUGGUGUUUGUGUGGGGUCACUGGACACUUUUAGUUCCCCUGCUCACAUGCAGAGUCUCUGUCUCAAAUAACAGAAGAUAUCAGGAUAAACGGGAAAUGCAAAUCAUUCAUUCUGAAGACUAUCACUGCAGUGUCAGUAUCAACUCAUUCAAGGUGAACAUUGAAAAAGCAAAGUCUCAUCUCUACAAAUCUGAAAAUCAGCCCUUUUGGGAAGCACUGAUGGUAGUCAAUUUUUUCAACAACAAUAAAAAAAGGUUUGUUGAGAAUUAAACAUGGCAGCUUUUCUGAAGCCCUUUCAUGGCAAACGGUUCUGUCCAUUGCUGAAACUUCAACAUGGAAUGGAAUUUCACCACUAAAGAUAAUAUAUUCUGCUGCUGGCUUGCAAGAGCACUGCAAAAUCAUUUUGCUUUUUAAAGAUGAACAGUAUUGUAGAUUCUCUCAGAAACUCCAACGAGAAACUUUUCACCCUCCCAUCUGUCAGUCCACAGGAAUGAUUUAUUGACAUUUCAGCAGAUAAAAGAAAGGAUUCAGGUGUGUGUGAAGUAAUGACUUUGCUUGUCUCCAUGGAGAUAAACCUCCAAAUAUUUUGCAGAUAUUCUUUUUUUCUUCUUCUUCUUUCUUUUUUUUGUUUUUUUUACUUUUUGGUCAGUUAAAAUAAAAAAAUACCCAGAACUGUUCA